UCUAGUCAAAAGGGUUCCUUGUUCAAAUGAUUCCAGGGGUUCUGAUUUUUACUAACAAAGUUGUAAUCUUUACACCUGCAAAUGAUCAGAGUUAUAUUUGGGUUUAAAAGUUAGGGUUUUUAUGGUUGUGGAGAGAAAUCAAUCAGUGGGUUUCUAUCAAUGCUGAUCAAAACGCUAAAUUUUCAGAAGAUUUGAAGAGAAGAAGUUGUUGGUGGUUUCAAUGUCUUGGCCUGGUUCUGAAGAUGGAUUCCUUUCUACUUCACUUGCUAGCUAUCUUGACAGUAUAAAUUGCAGAGAAGCUUCUUGUUUUGCUGAGAGAUGACCAGAAACUCAUGGGGAUACUUCGUUCUUUUGAUCAUUUCGGUCUGCUUUUUGUCUAUAUGUUGAUUUAUGAAUUUGCCUCUUUUCUGCACUUUAGUCGCUUAUGGAAAAAGCAAAUGCGGUUCUUGAAGGUGCGUGCCUUUUGGGCCGGCUCAAAAGGCAGAAAGGGUUGCUACAGAUUUGAAAAACAGUUUUGUGCACCCCCUUUAUAAAGUAUAUCUUUAAGGUUUUAUAAUCAAAUACUCCACCCAUCACAAUGGUAGAAUCAUGCUGGUUGCGCAAAAUAACAAUCCGAGGUGGCCAUUGUGCUCUGAUUGGAAUAGCAAGAUAACCCGAUUUUAUCGCACACUACAGUCAUGAACAGUAUCAUAUUGUCAAUUUGUAACAGAAAGUAGUCCUUUUAUUUUCUUAAUGGUCCAGUUUGCAGUUUGUUUCUUAAAUGUGCACUCCUUUACAUUCCCGUGUAUAACUUGCAGAGAAGCUUCUUGUCUUGCUGACAGAUGGCCGGAAACUCAUGGGGGUAUUUGUUCUUUUGAUCUGCUUUUUUCCGUCUCUAUGUUGAUUUAUGAAUUUGCCUCUUUUCUGCACUUCGGUAGCUAAUGGACACUUUGUUUUCUGUAUACAACAAAUGCGUCCUUGAAGGAGCUUGUGAACAAGCAACUUUUGGAGAUCUCUGCUGCGACAUUUCUUGAGGUCUUAAUGUGAUCCGCAGGGAAAAUGUUGUCUUAAUAAGAGAACUGGUAUAUAAACUGUUUAUUUAAUUUCAGUUUUCUGACUAAUUGUUGCCAAUAGUUAAGUACCUCUCAAGUAGUAAUUUUUCAUGUUUUUGUUCUCAUCAAAUAAGAUUUAGAGAGGGAGGAGCUUCCCCCGCACAUGACUCAGUGUUCACCUGCUGAGAUAAAAAAGAGUAAGUGAUACUUUUUUUUUUCCGGCAGUAUUAUGUUAGUUAGCAUGGUUCUGACAAUACUCUGAGGUUUUACGUUUGGGCAGGCGCAAAAGGCAGAAAGGGAUGCCACAGAACUGAAAGGCUCCAUGAGAAAAAGAAUGGAGUUUCUGGAUAUGGACUGAAUCCAUGCUAUAUAUCACCCGCAAAUAUUAUCGCGGCUGAUUCUUGCUGGUUAAAGUUGCUCAAAUGUGGCCAUUUUACUCGUCUUUUAGCUGUUCAAAUUUAUCUGUGGCAACCACAAAUUUACUGUAUGCCAUAUACAAUUUGUAGCUCAUGGAAGUUGUGAUUUGCUUCUUGACCCUGGAUUUCAUCUAGUGGUUACUAACCUUAGUUCCAUUCACACAGGAUGCAGCCGUUUGUUAAUGAAGUUUUAAUGGGUUGAUCCCAGUGUCACUGGGGGUGAACAUGGUCUGGAUUCAACCGGUUUUAACAUCAUCAGCAUCCAGUCCUGUACAUGACGGACUAGUUUUAGUGUUGUUUGUCUAAAAUUCAAUGUAGAAGACAUUGGUGGGUUUGUCUGCCGUUUCCAGGAAUUUAUAAUCCCAUGGGGUUACAAAUUCUGGGAUUCAUGUAAAUUCCUUGCAUAUAUAUGGAAUUUAGAGUUUUCUGGGAUUCA